rfam:Armatimonadetes bacterium CG2_30_66_41 cg2_3.0_scaffold_633_c, whole genome shotgun sequence.
AGUCAAGCUACUAAGGGCAUACGGUGGAUGCCUUGGCACAAGCAGCCGAUGAAGGACGUAGCAAGCAACGAAAAGCCUCGGGGAGGCGCAAGCAGCCUUUGAUCCGGGGAUAUCCGAAUGGGGAAACCCGGUGCGGAUCAAGCCGCACCAUCGCGCGGUGAACACAUAGCCGUGUGGAAGGCAAGCCGGCGAAUUGAAACAUCUUAGUAGCCGGAGGAGAAGAAAGAAAACUCGAUUCCCUGAGUAGCGGCGAGCGAAACGGGAAGAGCCUAAACCUUCAGCGUGGCACAGCCCGCAAGCGAUGCGCUGGAGGGGUUGCGGGACGGAUUUAGACGGCAUUGCGGAGCCGUCGACGAGUCAUAAACCUGAGACCCAGCCGAAGCCUUCUGGAAAGAAGCGCCAUAGAGGGUGAUAGCCCCUUAGGUGAACGGCCUCAGGCUCGUUGAGAUCCGGACCCAAGUACUACGGGACACGGGAAACCCUGUAGGAAUCCGGGAGGACCACCUCCCAAGGCUAAACACUGCUUGUGACCGAUAGUGAACCAGUACCGUGAGGGAAAGGUGAAAAGAACCCCUGUAAGGGGAGUGAAAUAGAACCUGAACCCGUAUGCCUACAAUCAGUCGGAGCCCAGUGACUUCGGUCCGGGUGACGGCGUGCCUUUUGUAGAAUGAGCCGACGAGUUACUGUGUGUCGCAAGGUUAAGCGAUUAAGUCGCGGAGCCGUAGGGAAACCGAGUCCGAAUAGGGCGACUAAGUGGCACGUAGUAGACCCGAAACCAGGUGAGCUACCCAUGGCCAGGCUGAAGUGCGCGUAACAGCGCAUGGAGGGCCGAACCAGUGUCGGUUGAAAACGGCUUGGAUGAGCUGUGGGUAGAGGUGAAACGCCAAACGAACCUGGCAAUAGCUGGUUCUCCCCGAAAUAGCUUUAGGGCUAGCCUCGGGUGUUUAACUGCGGAGGUAGAGCACUGAAUGGGCUAGGGGGCUGACAAGGCUUACCAAACCCAACCAAACUCCGAAUGCCGCAGUUCCAUAACCCGGGAGUCAGACUGUGGGGGAUAAGCUCCAUGGUCGAAAGGGAAACAGCCCAGACCGUCAGCUAAGGCUCCUAAGUCCGUGCUAAGUGGGAAAAGAGGUGGAGUCGCGCAGACAACCAGGAGGUUGGCUUAGAAGCAGCCACCCUUUAAAAAGUGCGUAACAGCUUACUGGUCGAAAUGUCUUCGGACUGCGACUCUGCGCUGAAAAUAUAACGGAGCUCAAGCACGGCGCCGAAGCUACGGAUCUCCACGCUCCUUCGGGAACGCGGGGAUGGUAGGGGAGCGUUCUGUUGUAGAUUGAAGCCAUACCGCAAGGAGUGGUGGACGAAGCAGAAGUGAGAAUGUCGGCAUGAGUAGCGAAAAGAGAAGUGAGAAUCUUCUCCGCCGAAAGCCCAAGGUUUCUUAAGCGAGGCUCGUCCGCUUAAGUUCAGCCGGGCCUAAGCCGAGGACGAAAGUCGUAGGCGAUGGACAGCAGGUUGAUAUUCCUGCGCCACUGUUCAAUGCCCGCGAGUCCUUCGGGACUCGUAACGAAGGGACGACGCAGACGGGAAGGCCAGCGCACGGGAGGAUGUGUGCGUUCGGACUUGUGAAGGAGGGGGGAGUAGGCAAAUCCGCUCCCCCGCUAACUCUGAGAAGUUCGACGAGAGCGCCCUAACAAGCUAACGAAGUGGUUGGUCCCAAGCUGCCAAGAAAACUCCCUAGUGAGUUGAACAGUGACCGUACCGCAAACCGACACAGGUGGGCAGGGAGAGUAUCCCAAGGCGCGCGAGAGAACCCUCGUUAAGGAACUCGGCAAAAUGUUCCCGUAACUUCGGAAGAAGGGAAGCCCCGUGUAGGGUGACAAGUUUACUUGGAGCCUGAAGGGGUCGCAGAGAAUCGGCCCAGGCGACUGUUUACCAAAAACACAGGUCUCUGCUAAGCCGAAAGGCGAAGUAUAGGGGCUGACGCCUGCCCAAUGCUAGAAGGUUAAGGGGAGUCGUUAGUAUCCUUCGGGAGGCGAAGCGGCGAACCGAAGCCCUAGUCAAUGGCGGCCGUAACUAUAACGGUCCUAAGGUAGCGAAAUUCCUUGUCGGGUAAGUUCCGACCUGCACGAAUGGCGCAACGAUCUGGGCACUGUCUCAACGAGGGACUCGGUGAAAUUGUAUUAUUCGUGAAGAUGCGAAUUACCCGCGGCAAGACGGAAAGACCCCGUGGAGCUUUACUCUAGCUUGGUACUGGGUUUUUGGACAGCUUGUAGAGGAUAGGUGGGAGACUAGGAAGCUUCGGCGCUAGCCGGAGUGGAGUCAACCUUGGAAUACCACCCUGGUUGUUUUAGAAUCCUAACUCCAGCCCUGAUCGGGUAGGAGGACAGUACCUGGUGGGGAGUUUGACUGGGGCGGUCGCCUCCUAAAAUGUAACGGAGGCGCCCAAAGGUUCCCUCAGGACGCUUGGAAAUCGUCCGCAGAGCGUAAGGGUAUAUGGGAGCUUAACUGUGAGACCUACGAGUCGAGCAGAUGCGAAAGCAGGGCCUAAUGACCUUACGGUUGGAAGUGGGACCGCCGUGAAUCAACGGAUAAAAGCUACCCCGGGGAUAACAGGCUUAUAGCGCCCAAGCGUCCAUAGCGACGGCGCUGUUUGGCACCUCGAUGUCGGCUCGUCGCAUCCUGGGGCUGGAUUCGGUCCCAAGGGUUGGGCUGUUCGCCCAUUAAAGCGGUACGCGAGCUGGGUUCAGAACGUCGUGAGACAGUUCGGUCCCUAUCUGCCGUGGGCGCAGGAAACUUGAGGGGAGCUGUCCCUAGUACGAGAGGACCGGGAUGGACAGACCUAUGGUGUACCAGUUGUUCCGCCAGGAGCAGGAGCUGGGUAGCUAUGUCUGGAUCGGAUAAGCGCUGAAAGCAUCUAAGUGCGAAGCCGACCCCAAGAUAAGGUUUCCCUCUGGAGUAAUGGCAUCCAAGCCAAGGGUGCAAUUGCUGUUGGUCUUCGGAUCCGCAGUGAAUGUGUUCUUGGCUCGUCAUGAAAGAGGUAAGGCCCCAGGAAGACUACCUGGUAGAUAGGCCGGGAGUGUAAGCACAGCAAUGUGUGUAUGCCGCUUUGUGCGACGCUGCUUGCAGUGUCAAGCUUGGGGGUAAGCUGACCGGUACUAAUCGGCCGAUCGCUUGACUGC